UUUCUGUAGUUGUGUUACAUUGUUUCUGUACAUAUUUACGUACUUAUUUUAAGCCCAACCAUGACGUUUUCCCUUAACCUAACUAAGUGGUUUUGUUGCCAAAUCUUAAGUCAGUGGCUUUGUUGCUCCCUGGUGAUACUGCACGUUAAUACAGGCGUGUACUAUUCAGGUCUCUGCGAGGCAAAACGUGACACUGACAGGCUAUCCUCUGGUGGACAGGCGGGUCUAUUCCACGCUUUGGU